ACCGAAUCCAAAUAAAUGAUGCUUUCUCAAAUGGUGUACUGUUGUUCAUAUUAAUAAAAUUCAUUAUUUUAGUUUGUUGUCUUUAUCAUAUUGGAAGGAUUAUAAAUUUUCAGCCAGCUUAACUGGAGGUAGUUUAAGGGUUCAUAGGUGUAAUUCAUGAAUGUAAUUAUCAGUUUCACAAAAAUCCUAGGAAACAAUUUUCUCAUGUUUAACAGAGAACCUUUAAUAUGAAUUUAUGUUUCUCACAAAUCAGGUGAAGGUUUCCCACAAUAUUGGAUUCACCAUUUAUCAUGGUCCACCAUAUUUCACUUUAUUUUCGUCUUGUUACUUUUCUUUUUCUUUUCUUUAGGGGUUAGGGUGGGGAGAUAUUGCAUAUGUACUCUUCACUAAAAAUCAGACAAAAAUAAAUCAUAUACAACCUUUAAGUAACAUCAAAUUUUCUGGUAAUACGGAUAUUGCUACCAAAAGUGUAAAAUGACACCAAUAUGGAAUGUUUUUUUUGUGAGGUUCAUUGUCUCAGUACUGGACCUCAUACCGGUACCAUCUUAUUGCAGUAUCGAUACGUGGUAUGGUAUGGUAAGAUUUGGCAUACUGAGUGCCGGUAUGGUACGGUACUACAUACCGGUUCAAUACCAGUAUGGUAUGGUAUGCCCAGUAUGGUACGGUACCGACCAGUAUAGCAAACCUUAGUUUAUUAUUUUAGUACAUAUUAUGCACUAGUGGGAUGAGAGGAACAACUGACUGAAAACCUCUGUAUGGAACUAGCUAUCAAACAACAAGACAAAGCCAGUAAUAAGAACAACAGUGUAAAAAAAUUAGAAUGUCAUACUUAUACACCACAGGAUAUUAGUAUAAUCAUAUCACCAAGAUUAUCAUAAAAGAGAACAUGCAGAAAUCUAAGUUAUAUAUGUGGGAGGUUAUAAUAACAAUUCUGAGUUCAUAUCAGUUACUCUAUUAUUUUCAGCUGGCUCAGGCACAUCUAUAACAGUGGUUGCUGGAGAUAAAUCUGUCUGCUGCCAUACAUAACUCUGAGUCAGUCAUCCAUAACUUUGAAUCAAUAUAAUUUACUCUUCAGAACUUACUGCUUUAGAUGGGUAAUAUAUAAUUUACCUGGAGUACUUGAUCUAAUUUAUUGUUCCCAGUGUCAUCAUGGUACUGA
rnacentral:lncRNA from 1 species